AUUGAACGCUGGCGGCAUGCCUUACACAUGCAAGUCGAACGGCAGCACGGGGCAACCUGGUGGCGAGUGGCGAACGGGUGAGUGAUGCAUCGGAACGUACCUUUCAGUGGGGGAUAACGUAGCGAAAGUUACGCUAAUACCGCAUAUUCUGUGAGCAGGAAAGCAGGGGAUCGCAAGACCUUGCGCUGAUUGAGCGGCCGAUGUCAGAUUAGCUAGUUGGUGAGGUAAAGGCUCACCAAGGCGACGAUCUGUAGCGGGUCUGAGAGGAUGAUCCGCCACACUGGAACUGAGACACGGUCCAGACUCCUACGGGAGGCAGCAGUGGGGAAUUUUGGACAAUGGGGGCAACCCUGAUCCAGCCAUGCCGCGUGAGUGAAGAAGGCCUUCGGGUUGUAAAGCUCUUUCGGCCGGGAAGAAAUCGCACGGGCUAAUACCCUGUGUGGAUGACGGUACCGGAAUAAGAAGCACCGGCUAACUACGUGCCAGCAGCCGCUGUAACAC
rnacentral:rRNA from 1 species